UACGUAGGGUGCAAGCGUUGUCCGGAAUUAUUGGGCGUAAAGCGCACGUAGGCGGAAUGUUAAGUCAGGGGUGAAAUCCCGGGGCUCAACCCCGGAACUGCCUUUGAUACUGGUCAUUCUCGAGUCCGGAAGAGGUGAGUGGAAUUCCGAGUGUAGAGGUGAAAUUCGUAGAUAUUCGGAGGAACACCAGUGGCGAAGGCGGCUCACUGGUCCGGUACUGACGCUGAGGUGCGAAAGCGUGGGGAGCAAACAGG
rnacentral:rRNA from 1 species